CUUUAGUUACAGCAUUCACUAACAAGACUAGACCUUCCUUCCUUUUUCCUUAACCACAGCAGUCACUAGGUGCUCAGGCAAUAAACCUAAGGGGAGAAACAGCAACUCACCUAAGAAACCAACAGUAGAAAUUCAGGACCAAUAACAGUGGGCAACUGCACAGAAGCCAAUGGAUUUACACCAGACCUGUUCUCCAACUUGACCAUAAAAGGAUUCCUCCAAUUUGCACUUCUAUCAUUUUCAAGCAAUGCAUGAAGCACCUGCUCUCAUGUUCCGCUAUCUAACGGCCAUGCCCAGCUAUUGACACGAUGCUCUUCACAUAUGAAUCCAAAAGUUCUUC